rnacentral:rRNA from 1 species
UACGUAGGAUGCAAGCGUUGUCCGGAAUUAUUGGGCGUAAAGCGAACGUAGGCGGUUUCUUAAGAUUGGUCUUAAAGACCGGGGCUCAACCCCGGGGAUGGAUCGAUAACUGGGAGACUGGAGGACGUCAGAGGAAAGUGGAAUUCCGAGUGUAGCGGUGAAAUGCGUAGAUAUUCGGAGGAACACCAGUGGCGAAAGCGACUUUCUGGGACGUUCCUGACGCUGAGGUUCGAAAGCUCGGGGAGCAAACAGG